GAUGAAUCUGUGUACAGGGAGGAGGUUCGAAAGGUAUCCACGUGGUGCUCAGAGAACAAUCUGCACCCAAACAUUGGCAAGACAAAGGAGAUGGUGUUGGACUUUCGGAGGAAGAGAGGGGAGCCAGCCACGUUGUACAUCAGAGGAUAAUCUCCUGUCAAAUCCAUCUGACUGCUGGACACACGGCUUGUUCUCAGGUGGCCACGACAAGGGCAAUCCUGUGUAGGUCUAUUGCGAAGUGCAUACUGUUUAAUUCGGCGGGGAACCUUCCAAGG